rnacentral:rRNA from 1 species
UUUGGUUGGGCACUCUAAUGAGACUGCCGGUGACAAACCGGAGGAAGGUGGGGAUGACGUCAAGUCCUCAUGGCCCUUAUGGGUAGGGCUUCACACGUCAUACAAUGGUCGGUACAGAGGGUUGCCAACCCGCGAGGGGGAGCUAAUCCCACAAAGCCGAUCGUAGUCCGGAUCGCAGUCUGCAACUCGACUGCGUGAAGUCGGAAUCGCUAGUAAUCGUGGAUCAGCAUGUCACGGUGAAUACGUUCCCGGGUCUU